AAAAUUUUAAGUUAAAAAAACUUUAAACCUUCAAAGUUUAAUAUAUAAUAAUAAGGUUAUAAAUUUUA
rnacentral:tRNA from 1 species